rnacentral:rRNA from 1 species
GGGGAAUAUUGGACAAUGGGGGAAACCCUGAUCCAGCGACGCCGCGUGAGUGAAGAAGUAUUUCGGUAUGUAAAGCUCUAUCAGCAGGGAAGAAAAUGACGGUACCUGACUAAGAAGCCCCGGCUAACUACGUGCCAGCAGCCGCGGUAAUACGUAGGGGGCAAGCGUUAUCCGGAUUUACUGGGUGUAAAGGGAGCGUAGGUGGUUCGGUAAGUCAGAUGUGAAAGCCCGGGGCUCAACCCCGGGACUGCAUUUGAAACUAUCGAACUAGAGUGCAGGAGAGGUAAGUGGAAUUCCUAGUGUAGCGGUGAAAUGCGUAGAUAUUAGGAGGAACACCAGUGGCGAAGGCGGCUUACUGGACUGCAACUGACACUGAGGCUCGAAAGCGUGGGGAGCAAAC